rnacentral:lncRNA from 1 species
UAGAGUAUUAGUUUAAGUGUAUUAUUAAUGAUUUUAAUUUAUUCGGUAUAUAUAUUAGUACAAAUAUUAAUAAAAAUAUUAGUUUAGAGUUUAUUAUCGAUGAUUGUAAGUCACUCGGUACGUAUAUUAGUUCAAGUGCAAGUGAAAAUAUUAGUUCGUAAACUAUGUAUAAACUAGUAAGCUAUAAGCUCAUGAAAAAAUGUUACCAAUUUUUUUUUUCAAUACAAACUUAUAAAUUAUAAGCCAUAAAUUUUUUAGCGGCCCACCCAAUAAAUUUUUC